UUUUUUACAAUACUUACAAUUUUUUUAUAAGUGUAAGAUUAUUUCAAAAUUUUAAAAAUAAUAGGAUUCUGUCAGUGUGUGUUUCUGAGAGUGAAUGGCUCACAGCUGUUGAGUAUCUAACACAACCACUACACAGGAGAUUGACAGUCGCAUUCAUGAGUGUGAUGGUGCAUGAUCUCAUUUUCAAUCUGAGACUU
rnacentral:snoRNA from 1 species